CCUACGGGAGGCAGCAGUGAGGAAUAUUGGUCAAUGAGCGAAAGCUUGAACCAGCCAAGUCGCGUGAAGGAUGAAUGCCCUACGGGUUGUAAACUUCUUUUUCAAGGGAAUAAAGUGGGCCACGCGUGGCCUUUUGCAUGUACCUUGCGAAUAAGGAUCGGCUAACUACGUGCCAGCAGGCGCGGUAAU
rnacentral:rRNA from 1 species